rnacentral:rRNA from 1 species
UGAGUAACACGUAUCCAACCUGCCGUCUACUCUUGGACAGCCUUCUGAAAGGAAGAUUAAUACAAGAUGGCAUCAUGAGUCCGCAUGUUCACAUGAUUAAAGGUAUUCCGGUAGACGAUGGGGAUGCGUUCCAUUAGAUAGUAGGAGGGGUAACGGCCCACCUAGUCUUCGAUGGAUAGGGGUUCUGAGAGGAAGGUCCCCCACAUUGGAACUGAGACACGGUCCAA